rnacentral:rRNA from 1 species
UACGUAGGGUGCAAGCGUUAAUCGGAAUUACUGGGCGUAAAGCGUGCGCAGGCGGUUCGGAAAGAAAGGUGUGAAAUCCCAGGGCUUAACCUUGGAACUGCACUUUUAACUACCGGGCUAGAGUACGUCAGAGGGGGGUAGAAUUCCACGUGUAGCAGUGAAAUGCGUAGAGAUGUGGAGGAAUACCAGUGGCGAAGGCGGCCUUCUGGACCAAUACUGACGCUCAUGCACGAAAGCGUGGGGAGCAAACAGG